ensembl:lncRNA
UUGUGUAUGCCUAUCUUUUCAGGGCGAGAGAGGUUUUACUGGGCCUGAGGGUCCCAAAGGUUUGAAGGGGGAACCUGCCCAGAAGGGUGAAAAAGUAUGCAAGCCAUAAACUGAAUCAUGGCUGGUGCACUCGAUCAUUCAUGCAUAAUUUCUAGCAUAAACUGGGUUUCGUAAACUCUAAUUCUAAUUCUUAUUCUUUGCUCUUUUACAGGGUGAGCCAGCUAUAGGAGUUCUUGGCCCAGUAGGACCCAAAGGAGAGCAGGGAGGUCGGGGCCCCCCUGGCUUGAGGGGAAGUUCAGGCACCAAGGGGGAUCAGGGUGAAGCAGGUGAACGAGGGGAGGAUGGGAGAGCAGGCUCACCAGGACCCAAAGGCCCACGUGGGGCAGAGGUGACAGCCCGCUAACACUGAUUUCAGCAGCAGAACCGUUACAUCUGUGUGUGUGCUUGUAUGUGUGUGUGUGAGCAUAUAUAAAGAA